rnacentral:rRNA from 1 species
UACGUAGGGGGCUAGCGUUGUCCGGAUUUAUUGGGCGUAAAGAGCGUGUAGGCGGUUCGGUAAGUCUGUCGUGAAAUCCUGAGGCUCAACCUUGGACGUGCGAUGGAUACUGCCGGGCUAGAGGAUGGUAGAGGCGAGUGGAAUUCCCGGUGUAGCGGUGAAAUGCGCAGAUAUCGGGAGGAACACCAGUAGCGAAGGCGGCUCGCUGGGCCAUUCCUGACGCUGAGACGCGAAAGCUAGGGGAGCGAACAGG